rnacentral:misc_RNA from 1 species
UUAACUUUUCUGAGUUAGUUCAAAUUUACCGAAUGCAUGCAAACGCCGGUAGAAGGACAGGACUGAGCAACGGAUGCAUUUUUUGAAGUUGGAACCUUAUAUGCGUUAUUUUUGGUAGUUGUAUUAAGUUGUGGGUUCUACCAGGUAGAACCACGAAAUUGUUUUGAAUGGCGUGGUUGAAACAAUUGUUCCUUUUUUAUUUGUUUAAAAAGACAACUAAAACUAGGUCUGGGUCAGGCUGGGAAUUACUUCAUUGUAAUUGAUGGCUUCCUAUCCUAUUGCUACUGUGCUAUAUUCCAAUUGUAUUGUCUAUUUUAAUUUGG